GCUAUCACAAGUGUGGGGUUGAGUUGGAUGAGGAUCAAAUCGGUGAAAUACACGUACCGGGAUUGAUUCAUGAGGAACUGCCAUCAAUUAUAGAACAUGCAAAGCAGGGAGGAGAUGAACAUUGUGAUUCUCAGGUGAGGAUGGAAGCGGGAUACCAUGAAAACGAUGACGGGUUGACUUUGUGGGGGUCAACCGAACUGAAGUAGACACGGGGAUUGCAGUUAAACGAAAAGAGGAACCGUUGUCUAAGGAAAGAGAGUUUAGUAUGGUGAACUUGGAGAAAUUGUCAAUGGACACUGUAAAAGAAAACAACUCUACAGAGACGACAUCAAGGAUUACGAACACUUAUAAUAGGAGGACAAAAGAUAAUGAUAUGGGGACCGAAAAAGCUUUGGUGUCAUGGGUAGGUGGUGCCAAGAAAGGAGAAAGUCACAGUGACAUUAUACCAGUGGUGGAAGAAAAAGAACGGUCUUUUGAUCAUCUCGAGGGAUAUCAGGGUGGCGAAACUUCA
rnacentral:lncRNA from 1 species